CAGGUUAUAUGUGGCCAAUUUUUGAUAUGGCCAUAUCUGAAAUUUUCAGAUCUGGCCAGAUAUAAAUUUUUUGUAAGGGAUGACUGUCCACGCUUCUAGCACUAAGUGCAAGGCCCUUCGUUGGCUCGCACGAUCUGUUCCGAGGACAGUGUCAGGCGGGGAGUUUGACUGGGGCGGUACAUCUGUCAAAUGGUAACGCAGGUGUCCUAAGGCGAGCUCAGCGAGGACAGAAACCUCGCGUAGAGCAAAAGGACAAAUGCUUGCUUGAUCUUGAUUUUGAGUACGAUUACAGACCGCGAAAGCGGGGCCCCUCGAUCCUUUUGACUUUAAGAGUUUUAAGCAAGAGGUGUCAGAAAAGUUACCACAGGGAUAAUUGGCUUGUGGCGGCCAUUGCGAAGCAGAAUUCGCCAAGCGUUGGAUUUUUCACCCAAUAAUAGGGAACGUGAGCUGGGUUUAGACCGUCGUGAGACAGGUUAGUU
rnacentral:rRNA from 1 species